GACGAACGCUGGCGGCGUGCCUAAUACAUGCAAGUAGAACGCUGAAGGAGGAGCUUGCUUCUCUGGAUGAGUUGCGAACGGGUGAGUAACGCGUAGGUAACCUGCCUGGUAGCGGGGUAUAACUAUUGGAAACGAUAGCUAAUACCGCAUAAUAGUAGAUGUUGCAUGACAUUUGCUUAAAAGGUGCAAUUGCAUCACUACCAGAUGGACCUGCGUUGUAUUAGCUAGUUGGUGGGGUAACGGCUCACCAAGGCGACGAUACAUAGCCGACCUGAGAGGGUGAUCGGCCACACUGGGACUGAGACACGGCCCAGACUCCUACGGGAGGCAGCAGUAGGGAAUCUUCGGCAAUGGACGGAAGUCUGACCGAGCAACGCCGCGUGAGUGAAGAAGGGUUUCGGAUCGUAAAGCUCUGUUGUAAGAGAAGAACGAGUGUGAGAGUGGAAAGUUCACACUGUGACGGUAUCUUACCAGAAAGGGACGGCUAACUACGUG
rnacentral:rRNA from 1 species